rnacentral:rRNA from 1 species
GACGAACGCUGGCGGCGUGCUUAACACAUGCAAGUCGAACGGUAAGGCCUUGUCUUUGUGGGGUGCUCGAGUGGCGAACGGGUGAGUAACACGUGAGUAACCUGCCCUUGACUUUGGGAUAAUUUCAGGAAACUGGGGCUAAUACUGGAUAGGUGCUCCUGCUGCAUGGUGGGGGUUGAAAAGUUUGGGCGGAUGGGGAUGCACUCGCGGGUGAUCAGCUUGUUGGUGAGGUAGUUGCUUACCAAGGCUUUGUCGGGUAUCCGGCCUGAGAGGGUGACCGGCCACAUUGCGAGUGACAUACGGCACGGAGUAGUACGGAAGGCUGCAGAAGGGGAGAUAGCAUGAUGGGCGCAAGCCGGGUGCAGCAACGCCGCGUGCGGGAUUGCGGCCUUCGGGUUGUAAGCCGCAUUCGCAUGUGACGGAGCGUGGGUGACGGUAAUGUAUGAAGAAGCACCGGCUAACUACGUG